rnacentral:rRNA from 1 species
UGAGGAAUAUUGGACAAUGGGUGGAAGCCUGAUCCAGCCAUCCCGCGUGAAGGAUGACGGUCCUAUGGAUUGUAAACUUCUUUUGUACAGGGAUAAACCUGCCCUCGUGAGGGCAGCUGAAGGUACUGUACGAAUAAGCACCGGCUAACUCCGUGCCAGCAGCCGCGGUAAUACGGAGGGUGCGAGCGUUAUCCGGAUUUAUUGGGUUUAAAGGGUCCGUAGGCGGGCCUGUAAGUCAGUGGUGAAAUCUCAUAGCUUAACUAUGAAACUGCCAUUGAUACUGCAGGCCUUGAGUAAAUUUGAAGUCGCUGGAAUAAGUAGUGUAGCGGUGAAAUGCAUAGAUAUUACUUAGAACACCGAUUGCGAAGGCAGGUCACUAAGAUUUAACUGACGCUGAUGGACGAAAGCGUGGGGAGCGAACA